rnacentral:lncRNA from 1 species
GGCUUUCUCAUAGUCCAGAGACCUGACACAGUGCUUUACAUGAAUUACCAUGAUUAAAUUUUUCCUGAAAGCAGAGACAUGCAUAGAUCAGCAGCCUUUAUGGGUGAGUGUGGUUAUUUUACUGGUAAGUAUUGGACUGUGUAACGUGCCAGUCUUGCUGACCCCCCUAGGAUUUCUCUGGACUCAACACCCUUUACUACUACAUUCACAGUGCUCUAAUAUUGAUACUCAUACAGAGGACCACGAUGAUAACAAGCACCUUGUUGAUCCUGAAGAGAACUCUGGAGGCUUCUUCAAGCUUGUGGGUUCUUCAUUCUCUUGAAGCCUUCCAUACAUGUGGUGUGUUUUGCCGAGACCUGGUUCUACCAAGAUGGUUUUAAUUGUUUCUGCUAAAAGGAAUGGACUCAAGGAUUUGUUCUCAUUUUAGAGGAGAUUAUCCCCAACUGACCAUCGUAUGGUACUUUAGUUGCUAUUGCCAAUGUGUUUGGUCACCAUUAAAUCAAUAUUUAUUAUCUGUUGAGGCAAGUCAGUAAAAUUAAUGCUUAUGUCCUGACGCUGGCACUCUUCAUGUUGUUUAAAUACUUAAUUUAGUUGUGUAAGACAGUUCAAGUAUUUUCUUAAAUAAAAAAACUUAAAACCUUUUUCUUUC